rnacentral:lncRNA from 1 species
AUUGGGACGAAAGCCUUAGGAGGAGUUAGCCACAUUCCAAUGUGUGCUAAUCGGCAAAAAAUGCAAAAUAGCCCUUUAACCGUACAUUUUACAGAUACGCGCGCAUUGACUUUUUCGUAGAUCUUAUUGAGAUACAUGUGUGUGUCAAAUUUUGUGUCAAUAUGACAAAGCAUACAGGUAUGACAGUCAACAAUGUGUAUUUUCACCUUAUGGGACAAGAAAAAAUGGACUUUUUUCUCCUGCCAUGGGGGGGCGCUCUUUUGGCGAGUAAAAAUUCCUUCACAAAUGUGUUGAUGGCUGGACAUUGCAUCAUCCUAGAAAACUUGGAGGCCAGAGAGGACAAAAAUAAAAAGUUAUAAGACUUUUAAAUAUGUGGAUUUUAGGGUUAUCUUUGGCGCCCCCUAGAACCUAAACCGUGGGGUGCAGCGUCAUGAUUUGAAUAACUUUUAAUGGCCAUGGGGUGUAGAUUGGCCUGAGCAAAUGUGGUGCCGGUGGAACGAAAGCCUUCGGAGGAGUAAGCGAAAUUCCAAUGUGUGCGGAUCGGCAAAAAAUGCGCAAUAACCCUUUAACCGUACAUUUGACAGAUACGCUAGCACUGACUUUUUUGUAGAUCUUAUUGAGAUACAUGUGUGUGUCAAUUUUUGUGUAAUUUUGACAAAGCGUACAGGCGUGACAGUCAAUAGUGUAAUUUUUCACCUUAUGGGACAAGAAAAAAUGGACUUUUUUCUCCUGCCAUGGGGGGGCGCUCUUUUGGGGAGUAAAAAUUCCUUCACAAAUGUGUUGAUGGCUGGACAUUGCAUCAUCCUAGAAAACUUGGAGGCCAGUGAGGGCAAAAAUAAAAAGUUAUAAGACUUUGAAAUUUGUGGAUUUUAGGGUUAUCUUUGGCGCCCCCUAGAACCUAAACCGUGGGGUGCAGCGUCAUGAUUUGAAUAACUUUUAAUGGCCAUGGGGUGUAGAUUGGCCUGAGCAAAUGUGGUGCCGGUGGAACGAAAGCCUUCGGAGGAGUUAGCGAAAUUCCAAUGUGUGCGGAUCGGCAAAAAAUGCGCAAUAACCCUUUAACCGUACAUUUGACAGAUACGCCCGCACUGACUUUUUUGUAGAUCUUAUUGAGAUACAUGUGUGUGUCAAUUUUUGUGUCAUUUUGACAAAGCGUACAGGCGUCAGGUGAAUUUUUCACCUUAGGGGGCGCUAUGGAGCCAUUUUGCAUUUUCUUGUUUGGGCGACUUCGGAAUAUCAAAUUUUUCACCAGGCCCGGUCGUCCUGCCAAAUUUCAUGAGUUUUCGCCAGUGGGAAGUGGGCCAUUUUCCAGUUCAAAGGGGAGGAAAAAUAAUAACUAGGGCCCCGUUGGGGCACUGGCGGGCCCGAGCCGUGUCACGCCGCCCCCAGCGCGACCGCCUCCCCCACCCGAUCGCGUCACACUCAAGGUCCAAAGAUGGUGUGCGCACUUGUUUGUGGUCAUUUACCAUUAUAAUGAACGGGAGGCGCAGUUUCUACCAAAGCGCUCGCUGCAGAAAAACUCCAUGUCCUAUUUGAAAAAAGUCUGGACCAUGAGUGAGGGCACAAACACAGCUAAGAUAUAUAUCCAAAUGGCAAGUUGUUCCUCCUUUCGCUUUUGCCGAGAGAGCAGUGCGUUUGAGCCAUUGAAUGAUGAACAGGAAAAACUUGACUUUAUUCUCCUGCCAUGGGGGGGCGCUCUUUUAACGAGAAAAAACUCCUUCACAAAUGUGUUGAUGGCUGGACAUUGCAUCAUCCUAGAAAACAUGGAGGCCAGUGAGGACAAAAAUAAAAAGUUAUAAGACUUUUAAAUAUGUGGAUUUUAGGGUUAUCUUUGGCGCCCCCUAGAACCUAAACCGUGGGGUGCAGCGUCAUGAUUUGAAUAACUUUUAAUGGCCAUGGGGUGUAGAUUGGCCUGAGCAAAUGUGGUGCCGGUGGAACGAAAGCCUUCGGAGGAGUUAGCGAAAUUCCAAUGUGUGCGAAUCUGCAAAAAAUGCAAAAUAACCCUUUAACCGUACAUUUUACAGAUACGUGGCCAUUGACUUUUUCGAAGAUCUUAUUGAAAUACACGUGUAUGUAAAAUUUUGUGUCAAUACGACAAAACAUACAGGCGUAGCACUCAACAAUGUGUAUUUUCACCUUAGUGGACAAGAAAAAAUGGACUUUUUUCUCCUGCCAUGGGGGGGCGCUCUUUUAACGAGAAAAAACUCCUUCACAAAUGUGUUGAUGGCUGGACAUUGCAUCAUCCUAGAAAACUUGGAGGCCAGUGGGGACAAAAAUAAAAAGUUAUAAGACUUUUAAAUAUGUGGAUUUUACGGUUAUCUUUGGCGCCCCCUAGAACCUAAACCGUGGGGUGCAGCGUCAUGAUUUGAAUAACUUUUAAUGGCCAUGGGGUGUAGAUUGGCCUGAGCAAAUGUGGUGCCGGUGGAACGAAAGCCUUCGGAGGAGUUAGCGAAAUUCCAAUGUGUGCGGAUCGGCAAAAAAUGCGGAAUAACCCUUUAACCGUACAUUUAACAGAUACGCGCCCAUUGACUUUUUCGUAGAUCUUAUUGAGAUACAUGUGUGUGUCAAUUUUUGUGUCAUUUUGCCAAAGCGUACAGGUGUUACACUCAACAAUGUGUAUUUUCACCUUAGGGGACAAGAAAAAAUGGACUUUUUUCUCCUGCCAUGGGGGGGCGCUCUUUUGGGGAGUAAAAAUUCCUUCACAAAUGUGUUGAUGCCUGGACAUUGCAUCAUCCUAGAAAACUUGGAGGCCAGUGAGGGCAAAAAUAAAAAGUUAUAAGACUUUUAAAUAUGUGGAUCUUAGGGUUAUCUUUGGCGCCCCCUAGAACCUAAACCGUGGGGUGCAGCGUCAUGAUUUGAAUAACUUUUAAUGGCCAUGGGGUGUAGAUUGGCCUGAGCAAAUGUGGUGCCGGUGGAACGAAAGCCUUCGGAGGAGUUAGCGAAAUUCCAAUGUGUGCGGAUCGGCAAAAAAUGCGAAAUAACCCUUUAACCGUACAUUUGACAGAUACACCCGCACUGACUUUUUUGUAGAUCUUAUUGAGAUACAUGUGUGUGUCAAUUUUUGUGUCAUUUUGACAAAGCGUACAGGCGUGACAGUCAAUAGUGUGAAUUUUCACCUUAGGGGGCGCUAUGGAGCCAUUUUGCAUUUUCUUGUUUGGGCGACUUCGGAAUAUCAAAUUUUUCACCAGGCCCGGUCGUCCUGCCAAAUUUCAUGAGUUUUCGCCAGUGGGAAGUGGGCCAUUUUCCAGUUCAAAGGGGAGGAAAAAUAAUAAUAAUAACAAAAGAAGGAAACAUACAGGAACAAGAGGGCUCUCGCAGCUGCUUAGCAGCUACGCUCGGGCCCUAACUAGGACCCCGUUGGGGCACUGGCGGGCCCGAGCCGUGUCGUGUCUCCCCCCCCCCCCAAUGUGCUGCCUCCCCGUCCCAUUUGUGUCCUCUGGCCAUCGCCCUCUCUGUUAACGCCCAUCACUGCAAAGACCCUUUUCCUUCAUCGGCGUUUGCUGUUCUUCCUGCCAGUGCGUGUUGCUUUCACUUACACUUGCCACAGCCAGCCUCGUGAGUGCCUAGCCUAUUGGAUAUCACUGUCACCUACACAGGACAGUCAUUACCUUUCUCUUAAUACUUUGUGUUUUAAUUUCACAUUAAUUUCCAUAUUGUAUAAACGACUGGAAAAAACUUGAGCCCCUGCCCCUGUAUAAUCAUGUGCAUGUCUCUGUUCUAGCUCCAAGGUGAAUCUUCACUGCUCAUGUUCUCCUCAGAAG